rnacentral:rRNA from 1 species
GAGUGCUUGCACUCCAGGCGUCGAGCGGCGGACGGGUGAGUAACGCGUGAGAAUCUGCCCAUUAGUGGGGGAUAACCCGGGGAAACUCGGGCUAAUACCGCAUACGUCCUACGGGACAAAGCAGGGGACCUUUUGGCCUUGCGCUGAUGGAUGAGCUCGCGUCGGAUUAGCUUGUUGGUGAGGUAAAGGCUCACCAAGGCGACGAUCCGUAGCUGGCCUGAGAGGAUGAUCAGCCACACCGGGACUGAGACACGGCCCGGACUCCUACGGGAGGCAGCAGUGGGGAAUCUUGGACAAUGGGGGCAACCCUGAUCCAGCCAUGCCGCGUGUGUGAAGAGGGCCUUCGGGUUGUAAAGCACUUUCAGCAGGGAGGAAGGCUUUGGGUUAAUACCCUGGAGUACUUGACGUUACCUGCAGAAGAAGCACCGGCUAAUUUCGUGCCAGCAGCCGCGGUAAUACGAAAGGUGCAAGCGUUAAUCGGAAUUACUGGGCGUAAAGCGCGCGUAGGCGGUGUGUUAAGUCGGAUGUGAAAGCCCAGGGCUCAACCUUGGAAUUGCAUCCGAUACUGGCACGCUAGAGUGCAGUAGAGGGAGGUGGAAUUUCCGGUGUAGCGGUGAAAUGCGUAGAGAUCGGAAGGAACACCAGUGGCG